rnacentral:rRNA from 1 species
UGGAGGGCAAGUCUGGUGCCAGCAGCCGCGGUAAUUCCAGCUCCAAUAGCGUAUAUUAAAGUUGUUGCAGUUAAAAAGCUCGUAGUUGAAUUUCGGGAUCAGUAUGCCGGUCGUGCCUUCGGUAUGUACUGACGUUACUGAUUUCUACCUUCUGACGAACCGUCAUGUCAUUAAUUUGGUGUGGCGGGGAAUCAGGACUGUUACUUUGAAAAAAUUAGAGUGUUUAAAGCAGGCUCGCGCUUGAAUACAUUAGCAUGGAAUAAUGAAAUAGGACGUUUGAUCUUAUUUUGUUGGUUUCUAGGAUCGACGUAAUGAUUAAUAGGGAUAGUUGGGGGCAUUAGUAUUCAAUUGUCAGAGGUGAAAUUCUUGGAUUUAUUGAAGACUAACUACUGCGAAAGCAUUUGCCAAGGAUGUUUUCAUUAAUCAAGAACGAAAGUUAGGGGAUCGAAGACGAUCAGAUACCGUCGUAGUCUUAACCAUAAACUAUGCCGACUAGGGAUCGGAUGAUGUUAAUUUUUUAAUGACUCAUUCGGCGCCUUACGGGAAACCAAAGUGUUUGGGUUC